UACUGUAUUCUUCCCAAGCAUAGUUGCAGG
rnacentral:piRNA from 1 species